rnacentral:rRNA from 1 species
AGUGAACGCUGGCGGUAGGCCUAACACAUGCAAGUCGAACGGCAGCACAGUAAGAGCUUGCUCUUACGGGUGGCGAGUGGCGGACGGGUGAGGAAUACAUCGGAAUCUACUUUUUCGUGGGGGAUAACGUAGGGAAACUUACGCUAAUACCGCAUACGACCUACGGGUGAAAGCAGGGGAUCUUCGGACCUUGCGCGAUUGAAUGAGCCGAUGUCGGAUUAGCUAGUUGGCGGGGUAAAGGCCCACCAAGGCGACGAUCUGUAGCUGGUCUGAGAGGAUGAUCAGCCACACUGGAACUGAGACACGGUCCAGACUCCUACGGGAGGCAGCAGUGGGGAAUAUUGGACAAUGGGCGCAAGCCUGAUCCAGCCAUACCGCGUGGGUGAAGAAGGCCUUCGGGUUGUAAAGCCCUUUUGUUGGGAAAGAAAAGCAGCAGGUUAAUACCCUGCUGUUCUGACGGUACCCAAAGAAUAAGCACCGGCUAACUUCGUG